rnacentral:sRNA from 1 species
CUUGGUCUCCCCACGGGGAAGGAAAAGAUUUUAAGAGGAGGGCUUUGUAAGUGGAAAAACAGUUCCCACUGGCCCUAAACCUAGUAUUUAAUGAUCCAUGUUCCAGGCAGGAAAAUAUUUUUGAAGAGGCAGAUUUUUUAGGCAGUUUUUCCUAGAUAUUUGUUAGCUUUCUAUACAUUGAGAGCUUUUUACAAACUAUAGCAAGCAGGGAAACAGAGGAACCAUCCUCUCUGUUGGGACCUCGAUUCUCCAAGAGACUUGACUGCUACUGAGGUUCAGUCAGAAACUGCCCUCCUUACCUGGCGACCCGCCCGGGCAUCAGUCACCGGUUACCUGCUGGUCUAUGAAUCGGUGGAUGGCACAGUCAAGGAAGUCAUUGUGGGUCCAGAUACCACCUCCCACAGCCUGGCGGACCUGAGCCCAUCCACCCACUACACGGCCAAGAUCCAGGCACUCAAUGGGCCCCUGAGGAGCAAUAUGAUCCAGACCAUCUUCACCACAAUUGGACUCCUGUACCCCUUCCCCAAGGACUGCUCCCAAGCAAUGCUGAAUGGAGACACGACCUCUGGCCUCUACACCAUUUAUCUGAAUGGUGAUAAGGCUCAGGCACUGGAAGUCUUCUGUGACAUGACCUCUGAUGGGGGUGGAUGG